GUAUUUCCCUCCAGCAAUUGUCUCCUUCUUCCCCACCUUCCUCAGGUAUUUGGUUUAGGUACCAAACAUCUGACUCAGGUCUUCCUGGAGAACGGCUGAACAGGGGUGGAUGUAAGAAGGAAUCAUUUUUCCUUGAAGGGAAUUUUUAAAAAGCCAUUGACCUUGUCUGCAAGACAUUUUCACCUACUGUGUUCAUUGCUGCUGGAUGAGAUUUUCAAAGCCAUGCCAAGGGUGUAUGUAGCUACAUAUCUUCUGUGAAAAUGAAUGGAAUACAUCCAUCUGGCGCUUCUUUCCAAGUUUCAGCCACGGAUCCUCUCCUCCCUUCUUCAUCAGGGAAAAAGGCUUGUCGCCCACUUUGCCACCGCGUGGGGGACUUUAGCAGUACAAAUCAAGGGAAGGAUGGCCUGGAGCAGCCUGAAACACAGCAUUGCAAGGAGAAGGGUCAGUGAAAUCUGAGGAGGAAAAGGCUCAAGCAUACAGCUAAGAUGAGCUCAGAGGCAGAUAUCAUUAGAGAUCCCUGUAGCAGAUCAAGAAGAAAGGAUCCUGAAAUUUCUGUCAUUGUUUGAUGAAGCACAGAAAUGUGCCACUCCCACAGCAGACCAUGACAUCAGUGGAAUCAAAGGAAGGUGUAAAUGAAAGUCCAUCGGAUCUUCCAUCUGAACUGAGCAAGAACCUGGAAAUAAAUCCUUUACAUGGAGGGAACUUCUGGAAGCAUUCACUGGCAACCUCCUGGAAAAUUAGGAAAGCUUUCUUUUGGAAAUACUGCACUGAGCUCAAAUAGUGUUUAAACUUCAAGCUGAUGGGUCAUGCUGAAGGCUAAGUGCUGAAGCUGACAAAGAAACCUUACAACAUUGAAGAGUUUUCUACACAAGUGGUUGAAGAGCGAUUAAUAAAGUAACUGUCUGACCAUAUUUGUCUUGUGGAUAACAGAUGCUGAAAAAGGAUACGCAAAAAAUGAUGUUUAAAAUUGCAAUAACAAUUUUUUGUACAAGCAACACCACACAGAAGGCUACUUGUGCUAAUAAGCGUUUGGAAAUCAGUAGCUCUUUCUCCACAAACAUGACUUUAAAUAAUAGAACAUGAUCUCUGCCCUGGCAUGGGAUCAAACACUACAAAUCUGUGUCUAGAUAUUACAUCUUGCUGCGUGUCAAGGCCACCUAGACAGCUGGUGAUUCUGUUAACACCAUAACUCGCUUUCUCUUUCAUCUCAUCUAAUUUGUU